rnacentral:rRNA from 1 species
AAUUUAAGCAUAUAAUUAAGCGGAGGAAAAGAAACUAACAAGGAUUCCCCUAGUAACGGCGAGUGAAGCGGGAUGAGCUCACCAUGUGAAUCUGCGCAACCAGCAAUGGUGCGCCGAAUUGUGGUCUGAAGAAGUAUCGUCGACCGCGAACCCGGGCCAAGUCUCUUGGAAAAGGGCAGCUGAGAGGGUGAAACUCCCGUUCUUGCCUGGGUACGUUGUGUCAUAGCAUGAUCUUUCUAUGAGUCGAGUUGCUUGGGAUUGCAGCUCAAAUUUGGUGGUAAAUUCCAUCUAAAGCUAAAUAUUGGUGGGACACCGAUAGUGUACAAGUACCGUGAGGGAAAGAUGCAAAGAACUUUGAAAAGAGAGUUAAAGAGUACCUGAAAUUGUUAAAAGGGAAGCGAAGGAAUCCAGUGUAAAGCGAAGCCAUUCUUCUCAAGCCACUUGUGGUUUGGGCGCUGUGGUUAGCUGUACUAAUUCUGGGCUUGACCUGGGACAAACGUUUAGUAAGUAGACGACUCCUCGGAGUGAGUGCUUGCUCUUCAUGUUCUGGGUCGGGCUGAGGUCAGUCACUCUGUGCUCGUGAUGAAUUAGGAAAUGGAUUUCUUUACCCCGUCUUGAAACACGGACCAAGG